UUCCAGACUCCUACGGGAGGCAGCAGUGGGGAAUAUUGCACAAUGGGGGGAACCCUGAUGCAGCGACGCCGCGUGAGUGAAGAAGUAUUUCGGUAUGUAAAGCUCUGUCAGCAGGGAAGAAGAAAGACGGUACCUGACCAAGAAGCCCCGGCUAACUACGUGCCAGCAGCCGCGGUAAUACGUAGGGGGCAAGCGUUAUCCGGAUUUACUGGGUGUAAAGGGAGCGUAGACGGCCAAGCAAGCCAGGGGUGAAAGCCCGGGGCCCAACCCCGGGACUGCCCUUGGAACUGCAUGGCUGGAGUGCGGGAGGGGCAGGCGGAAUUCCUGGUGUAGCGGUGAAAUGCGUAGAUAUCAGGAGGAACACCGGCGGCGAAGGCGGCCUGCUGGACCGCGACUGACGUUGAGGCUCGAAAGCGUGGGGAGCGAACAGGAUUAGAUACCCGUGUA
rnacentral:rRNA from 1 species